GCUCACGUAGCUCAGUGGUAGAGCACUCCCUUGGUAAGGGAGAGGUCACGGGUUCAAGCCCCGUCGUGAGCU
rnacentral:tRNA from 1 species